UGAAUACGAGACGCUAAGGCGUCGAAGUAGUGUAUAUCAGACUUCCAAGAAAAGCUUGCACUGUCAUAGAUAAAAAAUGCCUGUACCAUAACCGACACAGGUGGGUAGGUAGAGUAUACUAAGGGGCGCGAGAUAACUCUCUCUAAGGAACUCGGCAAAAUAACUCCGUAACUUCGGGAGAAGGAGUGCCUUAUUUAUAAGGUUGCAAUAACAAGAUCCAAGCAACUGUUUAUCAAAAACACAGGUCUCCGCUAAGUCGUAAGACGAUGUAUGGGGGCUGACGCCUGCCCAGUGCCAGAAGGUUAAAGAAGUUGGUUAGCAAUUGCGAAGCUGAUAACUGAAGCCCUGGUGAACGGCGGCCGUAACAAUAACGGUCCUAAGGUAGCGAAAUUCCUUGUCGGGUAAGUUCCGACCCGCACGAAAGGCGUAAUGAUUUGGAUACUGUCUCGGAGAGGGGCUCGGUGAAAUAGACUUGUCUGUGAAGAUGCGGACUACCUGCACCAGGACAGAAAGACCCUAUGAAGCUUUACUGUAACUUGAAAUUGAAAUUGGACUUUAUUCGCGCAGCAUAGGUGGGAGGCGUUGAUUAUAAUCUUGCGGGAUUAUUGGAGCCAUCAGUGAGAUACCACUCUUGUAAUGUUAGAUUUCUAACUUUGAAUCAUUAUCUGGUCAAAGAACAGUUUCAGGCGGGCAGUUUGACUGGGGCGGUCGCCUCCUAAAUGGUAACGGAGGCGUACAAAGGUUUCCUCUGAACGGUUAGAAAUCGUAUCUAGAGUGUAAAGGCAUAAGGAAGCUUGACUGUGAGACCUACAAGUCGAGCAGGGACGAAAGUCGGUCUUAGUGAUCUGACGGUACUGAGUGGAAAGGCCGUCACUCAACGGAUAAAAGUUACUCUAGGAUAACAGGCUGAUCUCCCCCAAGAGUUCACAUCGACGGGGAGGUUUGGCACCUCGAUGUCGGCUCAUCGCAUCCUGGGGCGGUAGUACGUCCCAAGGGUUGGGCUGUUCGCCCAUGAAAGCGGUACGCGAGCUGGGUUCAGAACGUCGUGAGACAGUUCGGUCCAUAUCCGGUGUAGGCGUUAGAAUAUUGAGAGGAGCCUUCUUUAGUACGAGAGGACCGAGAAGGACAUACCUCUGGUGUACCAGUUAUCGUGCCAACGGUAAACGCUGGGUAGCUAUGUAUGGAGUGGAUAACCGCUGAAAGCAUCUAAGUGGGAAGCCCGCCUCAAGAUAAGUA
rnacentral:rRNA from 1 species